CGGAGAAUGUUAUCACGGGAGACACACGGCGGGUGCUAACGUCCGUCGUGAAGAGGGAAACAACCCAGACCGCCAGCUAAGGUCCCAAAGUCAUGGUUAAGUGGGAAACGAUGUGGGAAGGCCCAGACAGCCAGGAUGUUGGCUUAGAAGCAGCCAUCAUUUAAAGAAAGCGUAAUAGCUCACUGGUCGAGUCGGCCUGCGCGGAAGAUGUAACGGGGCUAAACCAUGCACCGAAGCUGCGGCAGCGACACUGUGUGUUGUUGGGUAGGGGAGCGUUCUGUAAGCCUGUGAAGGUGUGUCGUGAGGCAUGCUGGAGGUAUCAGAAGUGCGAAUGCUGACAUAAGUAACGAUAAAGCGGGUGAAAAGCCCGCUCGCCGGAAGACCAAGGGUUCCUGUCCAACGUUAAUCGGGGCAGGGUGAGUCGACCCCUAAGGCGAGGCCGAAAGGCGUAGUCGAUGGGAAACGGGUUAAUAUUCCCGUACUUGGUGUUACUGCGAAGGGGGGACGGAGAAGGCUAUGUUGGCCGGGCGACGGUUGUCCCGGUUUAAGCGUGUAGG
rnacentral:rRNA from 1 species